AUAUAAAUAUAACAUUUUCAUUAGAUAAGCCCCCAUAAUGAGAAUCUUAUUUUUAUAUGAAAACGAUAAGGAUAAUUAUUAGCCUUUAGAUUAAAAAUAAAUGUUUAAAUUAAAAAAAAAAUCAUUUAAAGAACAUGUGAACAUGUGUGUCUUUUCAUAUGACUAAUAAAUGAUUAAAGAGACACACAUGUUCUUUAUUUAUACUUUUUA
rnacentral:lncRNA from 1 species